GCACGGGUACCAAAGUGGCUAAAUGGGCGGGACUCAAGAUCCCGUGGCUUAGUGCCUCCGGCGGUUCGAAUCCGCCCCCGUGCA
rnacentral:tRNA from 1 species